rnacentral:rRNA from 1 species
GGACGGACGCUGGCGGCGUGCUUAACACAUGCAAGUCGAACGGAAAGGCCCUGCUUUUGUGGGGUGCUCGAGUGGCGAACGGGUGAGUAACACGUGAGUAACCUGCCCUUGACUUUGGGAUAACUUCAGGAAACUGGGGCUAAUACCGGAUAGGAGCUCCUGCUGCAUGGUGGGGGUUGGAAAGUUUCGGCGGUUGGGGAUGGACUCGCGGCUUAUCAGCUUGUUGGUGGGGUAGUGGCUUACCAAGGCUUUGACGGGUAGCCGGCCUGAGAGGGUGACCGGCCACAUUGGGACUGAGAUACGGCCCAGACUCCUACGGGAGGCAGCAGUGGGGAAUAUUGCACAAUGGGCGGAAGCCUGAUGCAGCAACGCCGCGUGCGGGAUGACGGCCUUCGGGUUGUAAACCGCUUUCGCCUGUGACGAAGCGUGAGUGACGGUAAUGGGUAAAGAAGCACCGGCUAACUACGUG